rnacentral:rRNA from 1 species
ACGGCUCAGUAACACGUCGGUAACCUACCCUCGGGAGGGGGAUAACCCCGGGAAACUGGGGCUAAUCCCCCAUAGGCCUGGGGUACUGGAAGGUCCCCAGGCCGAAAAGGGCUCUCGCCCGCCCGAGGAUGGGCCGGCGGCCGAUUAGGUAGUUGGUGGGGUAACGGCCCACCAAGCCGAAGAUCGGUACGGGCUGUGAGAGCAGGAGCCCGGAGAUGGACACUGAGACACGGGUCCAGGCCCUACGGGGCGCAGCAGGCGCGAAACCUCCGCAAUGCGGGAAACCGCGACGGGGGGACCCCGAGUGCCGUGGCAUCGCCACGGCUUUUCCGGAGUGUAAAAAGCUCCGGGAAUAAGGGCUGGGCAAGGCCGGUGGCAGCCGCCGCGGUAAUACCGGCGGCCCGAGUGGUGGCCGCUAUUAUUGGGCCUAAAGCGUCCGUAGCCGGGCCCGUAAGUCCCUGGCGAAAUCCCACGGCUCAACCGUGGGGCUUGCUGGGGAUACUGCGGGCCUUGGGACCGGGAGAGGCCGGGGGUACCCCUGGGGUAGGGGUGAAAUCCUAUAAUCCCAGGGGGACCGCCAGUGGCGAAGGCGCCCGGCUGGAACGGGUCCGACGGUGAGGGACGAAGGCCAGGGGAGCAAACCGGAUUAGAUACCCGGGUAGUCCUGGCUGUAAAGGAUGC